AUUUAUAUAGUUUAAAAAAAACAUUAUAUUUUCAAUAUAAAAAUAGACAAAUUCUUUUAAAUU
rnacentral:tRNA from 1 species